UUUAAAAUAAAUCCUCGAUGACACUGUCAUCGUCCCAUUUUGUGGUCUUCAUUUCCUCCUGAUUAUAAACAAUAAUCAGGUUUCCCUUUGGCAGGGCUGGGAGGCAGGGGAGUUCAAACUCUGCUGCUCACAGAGAGCAAGAACUGCUUUUCCCACUGCAGUGUUUCAGAUCUCCAGCUCCCUGGACUGAGGCUGCUGUGAUGCUUUCCAGUCCCAGCUCAAACACCAAGGAUUUCCUGCCACCAUAAAGCUGUAAUUGCUGAAUUAAUAACAGCAGGUUUUGGAGAGAGACUGCACAGACUCUCUGACCCAGAUAUUUUCCUGAGAGCAAAUGACUUGUCUGGAGUGAAGCCUUCCAUUCCAGUGCCACAGAGCUGAGUGAUGAGAUCUAAAGCACAGCUUUGCUGGCGCUGUGUCACUCCUCUCCAGCACUGAGAGCAAGCAGUGGCCACAAAGCCUGGAGGUGACCUCAUCAAGCUCCAUGGCAGAGAUGGGAAGAGCAUCACUUGAGCCCAGAUCCUUCUGUGCUUCACAAAGUUGUGCACCCAUUCUGCGUUCCUCCAAGUUCAGAAAGGUGGCAAUUUUUUGACUCUUCAUGUCCUGUAAAAUAAUUAAAGGACAGCCAGCUUAACACUGUGUGACUUCAAUCCCAGCAUUAAGCUCACCUGUCUCAGAGCUCAGCAUCUCCCUAGGUGAGCACAAGCUCACACAGUUUUAUCUUUUGUGAAGAACCCUUAUUUUUCCUUACCAACCAGAGAGUGAGAGGCAGGCUGCCCACAGAAGUUGUGAUCAGAAAUGGAUGUGUCAGCUGUUAUCACCGAACUUGCAGGGAUGUAAUCAUAGCUGCUUCUGUGUGCCAGAAGAAAUUGGAAUGUUUACAGCUUUUCUGCGCAGCAGGAAGGGAACAAUCACAAGUGAAAUACAAACGUUCAGUCACAUGGAAAAAUACAUGCAAAAAGCACAGAAGUGUGCACAGGCAUGUGCUCACACUCAGAAAAAGAGGAUGCUAAAGGGAACAAGCAGAAAAUGCGUUUGCAGGUAGAAAAUGUGACCAAAGAAGAAGAACCUUUGGGAGCAGAGGACAAGGUGAGUGUCUGCAGAGAAGUGAUGGCAGCAGCCUUUCUGUUCCAGGGCUGAGCACAAGGAUGUGAGGGUGAGUCCACUCCAACACUUCUGGGUCUGGGCUGGGGAGAAACUGCACACACUCUAUGCUGGACACUCAUUAUUGAGACAAAUAAAGCCAGCAGGAAGGUUUUGUGUUGAUGGAGAAACACUCCACAGUAUUUGCAAAUUCUAAGAAGAACAAACUACUCAGAAACACCAGUAUGUUCAGUGAAAUUGAUGCUGCAAGCAGGACAAAAGGGUCUAAAAUGGAGACAGAAAUUUUCUAAGGGGUUAUAGCAGGUGUGGGAAUGGCCUUUAGGCUCUGUGUCUUCCGGCCACUAUCCUUUCUGCCAGUUCACUUAUCUCCUUCUCUCUUUUUGUUUCUGAAAUUGUGUGACCUCCUGUGCAUCCUCACAUGGUCUGACCAAGUCCUAUCCCCUCAUGUCCACAGCAAGUUCCUGCACUUCUUCUGACAAUGAGGGUAGACUGAAUUGUUCAGUUUUAUUCCUGCUACUAUUAUUUUGUCUAUAUGCUUUUUGGGAAGUCAAUGCUCAAAGGAGCAACCUGUCUAUCUCUGGCUUACACACAGUUCCAGCUGAACAGCACUAGGCUUCCAGCAGAAGGAUUGAAAGAACAAAGAAAAAGGUUCAUUUAAUUUACCUUGAGGGAUAGUUCAUUUUUCAAAUACAGACAAUUUGAAAAACACAGAGCACUAUGCCAGUACCUUAGUCACUCUCAAAAACAAAAUAAAGUCUUUCUUGGUAGGAAAAUAAAUGUCACUGAUGUGUACAUUUGCAUCCAGCAGCAAUUCUGAAACUAAUUUCAUAGUAAUUGAUAAGCUGCUAUAUUGCUUUAUUAUGAGCAUUGAAGCUUUAAAUAUUCCUGUCCAGGCCAGACUUGGCCUGACACCAAAGUGGUCAUUUGCCAUGUACCCUUCAGGCUGCACCCAGCAGGCUGAACAGAAAGCAGAGCUGGCACCAAGCUUAAACAUUGAUGUUCACUGCUGGCUGAAUACAGUUCAGAAUAUUAUGGGCCAGAAGUCCUGACGUACACAGGGCUGCUUAAUGAAACCAAAAACUGACCUGGACAAUAUGAAACCAUUCAUCAGAUUAGAAAAGAAAUUGCCCGUCAAGCAAGAGGCCAUUAAGUAGCUGAUAAAUGGAUGUUUCUGUGAGUGGUAUUUCAGGAUGCUAAAUUUAAACAAAUAUUUUCUUUUCUGAGUGAUGCUGAUAAGUAUCUUUAUUACGUAUGUAAGUGGCUGUGGGAAUAGCCAUCCCAGGAAGGUGCAUAGUGGUUUAUCUGUUAGAAGGCUGUGCCUGGGUAGGCUUCAUUCAGGUGCAUGUGGUAACUUAUUUUUAAAUGCAGAACUCCUGUCAGCUGAGGUGUGGUGGGUUAUUUCCACUGUCUGUUCUCCCAGUACACAGCCCCUGAUGGCUGCUGGUGCUGCAGGGCUCUGUGUGCUCAGUGCCUGACUGUGCAGUUCAGUCUGUGUCUGCAGUACUGCUCUGCCCACUUAGGGCUCCUGUGGGGCAAUUCACCUGUUUAUUCUCCUCCUUCUGCUGGGAAUUUCUACCUGGGGCUAACUUCUGCCAGAGGCUCUUGUUAUUCUUUCUACCUGGACAUGCCAGACUCCGCACCAGCAAAGCCUCCUGCUGGUGAACUCAUCCUUUCCUGUUGUGAGGUGGCUUCAGUGACAUCCCACUGCAAUUACAGUGACAGCCCAGCUGAGUUUAGGCUGGGAUGGAAACAGCCCUGGGCCACUCUCUGCAGUCUUUGCUUGAGAGAGCCCAAAGUGAAGGACAGAGAGGUUUUGUCCUUGCAGGACACAGAAGGACACUUGUGUGUUGGGCUUUGCCAGACGCCACUCAAAGCGCUUCCCCUUGGCUCCUGCUCUGAACCAGCCCCAGGAGGAGGCUGCUUCUCCUUAGGAACCCCAGGAGAGGCUUUGGGAACCUUCCUGGUCAAAUCUGACUUCAGCAACAGGGACUUUGUUGCUAAAAAAUGACGUCUAUGAAGCCCUGCCUGCAACCUGGAGCAGUGUAAGAGUGGCCAGUGGGGUUUUGUCACAUUUGCAAAGCUCUCUUUACCAGUUCAUGCAGUUUCUCUUCAACUUAGCAGAUCCUUUUCAGCUUUCUGCAGCAAGCAGGUGUCUCUCUAUAUUUCCAGUCUGUGAACUUCAAGAAAUCCUAAAAUAAUUUGUCAUUUUAUAAAUAAGUUAUACAAGCUGCCACUACAAAUCUGUCACCACGCAGACAGAUGCAAACAUGCGCAGUAUGAGCUGAUGCUGAGAUCAGAAUAAAGGCCAUCUAAAAGCAAUUACACUUCCAGGUAUUAGGCAAACACAAUUAUUUAAAUUGCUAGUCAAAAACAGUUGAUAAAAUAGAUAAUUAAAAAAGAUUGACCUAAAGCUGAUUUUAAAUUAUUCUGUAACAUGCACAUAACUUAUAUAAUUGCUCUCUCAUGACCCAGCCUCCAUUAAAAAGAAAUUU